CAAGCCACGCCUAUAGUGGUGGAUUUGUGCAGAAAUGGCUACUGUGAAUUAUAAAAAUAAAGACACUUCGCUGCUUGAAGGCUCAAUUGUAGACUCACUAACACUAACAAGAGAAUCGAACCGCCUGGCAGGAUAUGGGUCUUUGGACAGCCCGAGCGAUAGCUACAGUUCUGAGAAUUAUCCAGUACAGAGUGUUUUUACAGUAAGAGAGAUUACUCAUAAUCAGUAA